UGAAAAGUGAGAUUUUCGUCCCCGUAAACGCCCGGAAAUCUCUCUAAUUUCCGACAAUUUCCGACAAUUUGCAACCCGCGCACGUCGCGUUUGUCUAAACAGUGUCACUUACACACAAUGACGUCGUCUAAAUCUGGACUUUUCCCGGAGCAAAUACGAGGUCACCGCCUCAUUAUGAGGCGAGAUUAGUCUGUGAAAACAAAAUGUACAGUUAUGAUCGGUAUCUAUACGUAUAUAUUUCCUUAUAGCGCAGAAUGAAAGCAUAUUCUUUUGUUGUUGGCGUUGACGAGACGAUCCACUGAGAGCAUUCAGCAGCUUCUUCUGUCUGUCUGCGGACUGGCCGAACGUUGGUGACCGCGGAGAGGAGUUGAAGGCGAGUUGAACGCGAGACGUCGUCCAGCCAUUAUUCACGAAGCAGCAAAAACCAAACAAAGGAACUGGAGAUACAGUUCUUCUGAAUAUAGUAACACACACACGUGUCUGUUUGUAUGCUCGUCUUGCAAGUACUGCUGUAUCAGUCAUGCCUAUG
ensembl:lncRNA